AACGAACGCUGGCGGCAGGCCUAACACAUGCAAGUCGAGCGAGGACUUCGGUUCUAGCGGCGGACGGGUGAGUAACGCGUGGGAAUGUGCCCUUCUCUACGGAAUAGCCCUGGGAAACUGGGAGUAAUACCGUAUACGCCCUUUUGGGGAAAGAUUUAUCGGAGAAGGAUCAGCCCGCGUUGGAUUAGGUAGUUGGUGGGGUAAUGGCCUACCAAGCCGACGAUCCAUAGCUGGUUUGAGAGGAUGAUCAGCCACACUGGGACUGAGACACGGCCCAGACUCCUACGGGAGGCAGCAGUGGGGAAUCUUAGACAAUGGGGGCAACCCUGAUCUAGCCAUGCCGCGUGAGUGAUGAAGGCCUUAGGGUUGUAAAGCUCUUUCAGCUGGGAAGAUAAUGACGGUACCAGCAGAAGAGGCCCCGGCUAACUCCGUG
rnacentral:rRNA from 1 species